rnacentral:rRNA from 1 species
UUAGAAAGUGGAGUGGCAAACGGGUGAGUAACGCGUAGACAACCUGCCGUGAAGAUGGGGACAACAGAUCGAAAGUUCUGCUAAUACCGAAUGUUGUAGAUCCUCCGCAUGAAGGAUUCACUAAAGGUGCCCUCUGUAUAUGGUACCGCUUCACGAUGGGUCUGCGUCUGAUUAGCUGGUGGCGGGGGUAACGGCCCACCAAGGCGACGAUCAGUAGCCGGUCUGAGAGGAUGAACGGCCACAUUGGAACUGAGACACGGUCCAGACUCCUACGGGAGGCAGCAGUGGGGAAUCUUCCGCAAUGGGCGAAAGCCUGACGGAGCAACGCCGCGUGAGUGAAGAAGGGCUUCGGCUCGUAAAGCUCUGUUGAAGGGGACGAACGUGAAAGCUGUGAAUAAUGGCUUUCAAUGACGGUACCUUUCGAGGAAGCCACGGCUAACUACGUGCCAGCAGCCGCGGUAAUACGUAGGUGGCGAGCGUUGUCCGGAAUUAUUGGGCGUAAAGGGAGCGCAGGCGGGCUGUCAGGUCCUGCUUAAAAGUGCGGAGCUCAACUCCGUGAUGGGCAGGAAACCGGCAGUCUUGAGUAUCGGAGAGGAAAGCGGAAUUCCUAGUGUAGCGGUGAAAUGCGUAGAUAUUAGGAGGAACACCAGUGGCGAAGGCGGCUUUCUGGACGAAAACUGACGCUGAGGCUCGAAAGCGUGGGGAGCGAACAGGAUUAGAUACCCUGGUAGUCCACGCCGUAAACGAUGAAUGCUAGGUGUAGGAGGUAUCGACCCCUUCUGUGCCGGAGUUAACGCAAUAAGCAUUCCG